rnacentral:miRNA from 1 species
AACUCCUGAUAAUUCGCCACUC